rnacentral:rRNA from 1 species
AAUGAACGCUGGCGGCGUGCUUAACACAUGCAAGUCGAACGGUAACAGCAGUGCUUGCACUGGCUGACGAGUGGCGCACGGGUGAGUAAUAUAUAGUUAAUGUGCCCCUUAGUCUGGGAUAGCCACUGGAAACGGUGAUUAAUACUAGAUACUCCUUCUUCAUGCUUUGAAGUUGGGAAAGGUUUUUCGCUAAGGGAUCAGACUAUACUGUAUCAGCUAGUUGGUGAGGUAAGAGCUCACCAAGGCGAUGACACAUAGCGGGUUUGAGAGGAUGAUCCGCCACACUGGUACUGAGACACGGACCAGACUCCUACGGGAGGCAGCAGUGAGGAAUAUUGCACAAUGGGGGAAACCCUGAUGCAGCAACGCCGCGUGGAGGAUGACGCAUUUCGGUGUGUAAACUCCUUUUAUAAGAGAAGAACAUGACGGUAUCUUAUGAAUAAGCACCGGCUAACUCCGUGCCAGCCGCCGC